GGCUACUGACAAAGCAUUUUAAAUGUACCUGAUCUCUGAGCUCAGAGACAAAACAGGGUUAGGUCUGGUUAGUAUGUGGGUGGGAGAAAUGAAUGGCCCUUGCUCAAGUGCAUUGUGUAAGCCACUAGCCA
ensembl:rRNA 5S_rRNA 5S ribosomal RNA